GUUCUUUAGAAUUAAUUGUCUCAGUUGCUGGGGGAAAAUUCUCUUUUUUUUCUUUCUUUUCCUGUUUUUGCCUGAAAAUGUUUUUGUUUCACAUUCAUUCAUGAGACAUAAUGAAUGGAUAUAGAAUAAUUUGGCAAUUAUUUUUUCAGCACUUUUGUGGUAUUAUCCCACUGUUUUUGACCUCCAUUGUGGUUAUGGAUAAGUCAGUUGUUAGCCUCACUGACCUGAGCCACAGAGGACCCUGUUGUGUGCUACCAAAAUCCCUUUUGGGGAUAGAAGGGAUCUAACCCUCAGAUGCUGAAGGUGUUACCAACUGACAGCUUAUGGAUCUCAACCUUGCUGGAAAUUGCUCUCAACUGAGGAGACCCACCUCCGGUUCAGACACCUUUACAAAACACUCCUGGGGCGCCUGGAUGGCUCAGUUGGUGAAGUGUCUGACUGCCGUUCGGGUCAUGAUCUCACAGACGUUUGUAGGUUCCCAUAAUCAUGCGGCCACUCGAAUGAGAACAGCGAAAACCACUAACAAUUUGGAGACGAGACAGAGUCCAGAAAAGGAAGAAAAGUCACGAAGACAUAAAUUUAGCUUGAGGUGUUCCACGAACACAAGGCAGAGACCUAGAAUUAGGGCUUGCUCUAAAUUUCAAAAUUGACAAAAGGGUGGCUUCUCUGAAAGCGGAGUCAUUGGGGCAAGGAAAUGUCUCAAGCAGGCAUCUGUGAGAGUGCAAGGGAAUCGACUGAAAAAUGCAAAACGUCUGGAAUUCAAAACAAGAGAUGUCCGUCCAUCUGGUGACAACUUGUCGGGACAGUUUGCCAAAGCAGAGACCUGCAAAAACCGACCUGUGGGUUGCAAAGGAAAGUGUCGCUUCCUCUCCCCCCAAGACGAUGGUUAAGAGCACUAGUUUUUAAGUUAGAACCAGGCCAGCUGUCAGCAGGAAAAAUCUAUAUGCGUGUGGGAGGUGGGCAGGAGCCAGUAACGUAAACCUUGAAGUCUUGGAUUUCUU
rnacentral:lncRNA from 1 species